rnacentral:tRNA from 1 species
GAGGGGAGGUGGAACCAACGAGAACUGCUAAUUCUUGCAUCUGGGGCUAAACCCCCCAGUCCCCUUA